GAUGAACGCUGGCGGCGUGCCUAAUACAUGCAAGUCGAGCGAACAGACGAGGAGCUUGCUCCUCUGACGUUAGCGGCGGACGGGUGAGUAACACGUGGAUAACCUACCUAUAAGACUGGGAUAACUUCGGGAAACCGGAGCUAAUACCGGAUAAUAUAUUGAACCGCAUGGUUCAAUAGUGAAAGACGGUUUUGCUGUCACUUAUAGAUGGAUCCGCGCCGCAUUAGCUAGUUGGUAAGGUAACGGCUUACCAAGGCGACGAUGCGUAGCCGACCUGAGAGGGUGAUCGGCCACACUGGAACUGAGACACGGUCCAGACUCCUACGGGAGGCAGCAGUAGGGAAUCUUCCGCAAUGGGCGAAAGCCUGACGGAGCAACGCCGCGUGAGUGAUGAAGGUCUUCGGAUCGUAAACUCUGUUAUUAGGGAAGAACAAAUGUGUAAGUAACUAUGCACGUCUUGACGGUACCUAAUCAGAAAGCCACGGCUAACUACGUG
rnacentral:rRNA from 1 species